AACGAACGCUGGCGGCAGGCUUAACACAUGCAAGUCGAACGCCCCGCAAGGGGAGUGGCAGACGGGUGAGUAACGCGUGGGAACAUACCCUUUUCUACGGAAUAGCUCUGGGAAACUGGAAUUAAUACCGUAUACGCCCUACGGGGGAAAGAUUUAUCGGGGAAGGAUUGGCCCGCGUUGGAUUAGCUAGUUGGUGGGGUAAAGGCCUACCAAGGCGACGAUCCAUAGCUGGUCUGAGAGGAUGAUCAGCCACAUUGGGACUGAGACACGGCCCAAACUCCUACGGGAGGCAGCAGUGGGGAAUAUUGGACAAUGGGCGCAAGCCUGAUCCAGCCAUGCCGCGUGAGUGAUGAAGGCCUUAGGGUUGUAAAGCUCUUUCACCGAUGAAGAUAAUGACGGUAGUCGGAGAAGAAGCCCCGGCUAACUUCGUGCCAGCAGCCGCCGUAAGAC
rnacentral:rRNA from 1 species